rnacentral:rRNA from 1 species
GUAAGGAAUAUUGGUCAAUGGGGGCAACCCUGAACCAGCCAUGCCGCGUGAAGGAUGAAGGCGUUAUGCGUUGUAAACUUCUUUUGUAUGGGAAGAAUGACAGGGAUUUAUCCUUGGAGAGACGGUACCAUACGAAUAAGCACCGGCUAACUCCGUGCCAGCAGCCGCGGUAAUACGGGGGGUGCAAGCGUUAUCCGGAAUCACUGGGUUUAAAGGGUGCGUAGGCGGGAAAUUAAGUCAGUGGUGAAAAGCUGUCGCUUAACGAUAGUCUUGCCGCAGAUACUUCCUUUCUUGGAUGAGGAGGAGGCCACUGGAACGGAUGGUGUAGCGGUGAAAUGCAUAGAUAUCAUCCAGAACACCGAUUGCGAAGGCAGGUGGCUGUACCUUAAUCGACGCUGAUGCACGAAAGCAUGGGGAGCAAACAGGAUUAGAAACCCCUGUAGUCC